UACAGAGGUGUCAAACGUUGUCCGGAAUUACUGGGCGUAAAGGGCGCGUAGGCGGCCCUAUAAGUCAGAUGUGAAAGCUCUGGGCUCAACCCAGGAAUUGCAUCUGAUACUGUAGGGCUUGAGUUCGGUAGAGGAGGGCGGAAUUCCAGGUGUAGCGGUGAAAUGCGUAGAUAUCUGGAGGAACACCCGUGGCGAAGGCGGCUCUCUGGUCCGAAACUGACGCUGAGGUGCGAAAGCUAGGGUAGCAAACAGG
rnacentral:rRNA from 1 species